CCCAGUCCCCGGAGGCUGAGGCAUUCAGGUGCAUGUCCCCGCCCCUGCUGUCCAGCUUGCCUCCCUCCCUCUCUCCUCCUUUCUUGGACCCCUGAUCCUGUACUUCUCUGCCCCCUUCCCUGCCCUUUGCAGACAAAACCCGGGGUGAUCCAGCCUUUGGCUCAGGCCUGGCCAAGGGGCUCCCCGGCCCCCAGGGGCAGAGGUGAUCCCCGCUCCGUGAGUGUCCUAUCCCACAGGGGGUAGGGGGUGGCAGUUUCCUUCCCCUCUACGGGACAGGGCGAGGGGGGGAUCAGUGGCAGUCCGUGGAGACAGCUGGUGGCUGGUUGGGCGGUGGCUGCAGUGGACAGCUGCCCCCCACCCCGCCUCACGGGCACUCCGCCCCCAGACGCCCUCCCCGCCCUCCCCGGAGGAGCUGCCCGCCAACGUGAAGCAGGCCUACAGGGCCUUUGCCGCAGUGCCCGCCGCACACCCUCCCGAGGACUGCGCUGCCCAGGUAGGCGGGCGCCCUGCGGUGCGGGGCACUGAGUGCGGGUGGGUGCCCGCGGAGGAACUCUGGCCGAGUGUGAGGUCCACCUCCCCAGCCCCCCGCAGCCUCCCCGGAGCAGCUCUCCUUCCGCGAGCGGCAGAAGUACUUUGAAUCGGAGGUGCGGGUGCCCCAGGCCGAGGGGCCCCCCAAGCGCGUGUCCCUGGUGGGUGCCGACGACCUGCGGAAGAUGCAGGAGGAGGAAGGUGAGGAGGGCGGGAGGAGGGGCGGGGUGUGUGUGUGUGUGUGCCCGCCUGACCCACCCACCUCCCCGCAGCCCGCAAGCUGCAGCAGAAGAGGGCGCAGAUGCUGCGGGAGGAGGCCGCGACCGCGACCUCCGGGCCCAACAUUGGGCUCGCCCUGGACCUGGAGGCCCCUGAAGAGGAGCACCAGGAAGACGAGCCGCUCUGGGCCAGCCUGGGCGGGUGAGCUCCGCCCCCUCCCCCCCACCCUGCCCCGCUGUGCCCGCCCCCUCAACUGGCCUCCCUCUUCCCUAGGCCCAGCCCUGCAUCCCCGCUGCCCGCAGGAGGCAGCGCCCCUGUGCGAACAGCCAAAGCUGAGCGGCGCCACCAGGAGCGGCUGCGCAUGCAGAGCCCGGAGCUGGCGGCACCAGAGCGGGCCCUGUCCCCAGCGGAGCGCCGGGCCCAGGAAGCAGAGAAGCGGGCGCUGUGGAGGGCGGCCAGGUAAGUGGGUUCCCCCCCGCCCCGCGCCGCGCCCACUCCCUGGUCUCCGCCCACCCAUUGGUCUCCGCAGGAUGAAGUCUCUGGAGCAGGACGCUCUGCGCGCACAGAUGGUGCUCAGCAAGUCCCAGGAGGGCCGGAGCAAGCGAGGGCCCCUGGAGCGGCUGGCCGAGUCCCCCUCGCCCGCUCCCACCCCAUCGCCCACCCCCUUGGAAGGUCGGUGUGUCUGGUAGGAGGGGGGGGGGUUCUGCCAGCUAUGGGCCUUUCCCAAAGCCAGUGUCUUGUACCCCAGAUCUCGGCCUCCAGACCAGCACCACCCCGGGACGCCUGGUGAGCCACCCGCAGCUGUCUCCCCCCCUGCACCCCUGCGGCAUGGGGGCGGCGGUGCAGAUUCCCCCACACCGCCCUCACCUCUCUCCCUCGCACUUUCUGCCUCUUCCCCCUCACGCUGUCCUUUCAAGCCCUUGUCUGGAAAGAAGUUUGACUACAGGGCGUUCGCAGCCCUCCCUUCUUCCAGACCUGUCUAUGACAUCCAGGUACUGGCAGUCUCCUGGCCUUCUGCACGCGCAUGGGCCCAGUGCACGCUCCUGCCACUCCCCUGUGCCUGUCCCACCUGAGCUCUGUCCACCCCUGCUUUUUCCCUGCUCUUUCUCUGGUGUGGGGCCUCCCCCCUCCUCUUCCCUCCCGUCGCAGCCCAGCUGUGCUGUGCCCUCACCCAGGCUCUGUGGGCCUCAGAGCCAGGGGGACCGGCCAGGUCCACCAGGGUGGCUUCAGCCAGGUCUGGACCAGCCCUGACCAGCCCCUCUUCCCAUCACAGUCGCCAGAUUUUGUUGAGGAUCUGAGGUCCUUGGAACCAACUCCUAGCCCUGGUAAGUUGGUGCUGGGCUGGGGGUAAGCUCCCAGGGUGCCUGGUCACCCUGGGCUUACUUCCUGUCCUUGCCCCCGCCCCGCCCCCAGGCCCUCAGGAGGAGGAUGGAGAGGUGGCCCUGGUGCUCCUAGGCAGGCCCUCCCCCAGUUCCCUGGGCCCUGAAGAUGUGGCGCUGUGCAGCAGCCGUCGCCCCAUGCGGCCUGGGCGCCGGGGCCUGGGCCCUGUGCCCUCCUAGGGGGCAGGGCCUCCCCAGACUUGGGGUGGGGGCCUGCCAGCUCCAACACCACCCUUGCCCCAGUCUUUUAACCUGGGUGUUAGCAUUUUAAAGAGACCCCUCAGGGGCCUGGCCUGUGCCUGACUGCCCCACCCCAAGCGGGUUCUCUUGGCGAGACUGUAACUAGUGACGUUUGUACAACCAAAGACUCUAUUUUGUGGUUUAAGGAGAAUAAAAUUG
rnacentral:lncRNA from 1 species